rnacentral:sRNA from 1 species
UCAAGCCCCAAGGUUGAAGUAAACCGUGUAGAAUUCGUCUCUCAGGCUGUACAAUGGUUCAAGCAGGAAGUUCCUCUUCACCCCCUUUGCAAUGAAGCUGAUAGGAUGGUACUGCCUCAAUGGAGCAGCCUGCACAAAGCUCGCGGCCUGCUCGAAAAUCCCGUUGAUGCUUGGAAGAGAACUCUUGCAACUGACCUGAAUCUUUGUACCCACGGAGUAAUCCACGCCUAUCACCAGGAAGCAUCCCGGUUUGGUCCCGAGCUCGAGGGAGACCGAGUUUGGGUUUCCAUCUAGCCCAGGUACAAUGUUGAAGAGGGAAUCUGAACUCUUUUGCGCGGAUUGGGUAAGGUUGUUGGUGAUCACCGUUCCUGGGAGGUCAAAUGGUUCUAUCUGCACAGAGGUCCCCUUCAAGGUUGCACCCUGGGUGUCAAGCUGCCCUGCUGAGUCCUGAGGGUGUACUCUGAAUGUUGCGUGGAUGGCGGUAUCAGUGCCAUCGACCGUCGGCCGUUCUUGCAUUGUGAGAGAGCCAUUCGCGCUCGAGAGGACGAAGGUCUUCCCACUGGAUUCUUGUGUGAAGGUCACCAGCUGUGAGUUGUAGGAUGAAGGGACUGGAGAUAUCCAGUCUGAAAUUGCGCUGGUGUUGCCGGCUUCUGCAUUCCAAUCACCAGUUGACAGGCCAGCUAGAACAAAUGGCCCGAAUAGGAUUGCUUGAAGAGAUGCAUAUUCUGGCCGAUCAUCUGAUGUCACAGCAUAGCAGUUAACAUUGAGAUGAAUAUUCUGACUAAAAUAAAUCACAAUAGUUGGUGUAUGUCACAUCGUCACAGUUUCAUAUUCACUAUUAGCUUAUGAUUUUUUAUUGAUAAAUGAUCAUCUGAACACAUUGAUGCAUACUUGAAAACAGAAGAAAUUUCCUAAAAGUUGAGUUUUGACCUUUUAUUGCUUCAGUCCUUAGUGUAAUAGGGAACUGUAGUGAUAAAUGAUCAUCUGAGUUCCACUGUUUGGAGAUUGAAAGGAAAGACCCUGCCCACAAAACAA